CAGAGAGUAGUUUAAUUAAAAUUUUAAUUUUGGGGAUUAAAGAUAAGUAUGUGAUAUUUUUCUCUGA
rnacentral:tRNA from 1 species